UGUGGACUAGGCAUACAUGAAAUAAUGUUCGUAUGUUUUAUAUAAAUGCAUGUCGAAUGUAGAUGCAGUAAUAAUUUAGAAGUAAUUUGGUUGCCGCUGUGAGAUUAUGUUUUUCAUAGUACAUAACAGUAUCCAGAUCUACAACAAUGAGUUGUAAGGCUGACAUAAUUCCUAAUUUCUAUGCAUUUCUAAUAUUUGUUUCCAGCGUGUUUUGUUUUUGUUUUUGUUUUUGUUUUUUUUUUUUUUGCAGAAGAUAGAAAUGUUAUUUCACUACGCA
rnacentral:lncRNA from 1 species